rnacentral:lncRNA from 1 species
UACCUUUUUGUUCUUUUGCAGCAUAAUUUAUGUAGCAUGCAUUUAUUAUUGUAAUGGCCAGAGAUACUAUGUUUUUUAUAAUUAUAAAAUUUCCUCUUGUAUUUCUUUUAUAAAGACUUGGAUUGGCAAUCGAAGAAGGAAAUAUCGUUUAAUGGGCAUUGAAGUUCCACCUCCAAGAGGAGGUCCUGCUGAUUUCUCUGAGCAGCCUGAGUCUGCUUCUUUCUCUGCUUUCACACCAGGAGAAGAAACAGGGCCUGAAGUAGGAGAUGAUAAUGACAGAAAUGAUGAAGUAUCCAUCUGUUUGUCCGAUGGAAGCUCUCAAGAAGAGCCCAAUGAAGUUGUUCCAAAUGAGACUAGGGUUCAUAAGAAGGAAAAGCAACAUGCAGUAUGCACAGAUAAUGUGAAAAUAGAAAUUAUUGAUGAUGAAGAAAAUGAUAUGAUAAGUAAUUCUGAAGUAGAACAAGUAAAUUCUCUCUUGGAUUAUAAGAAUGAAGAAUUCAGAUUCAUUGAAAAUGAACUAGAGAUUCAGAAGCAAAAGUAUUUUAAACUUCAAACUUUUGUUAGAAGCUUGAUAUUAGCUAUGAAAGCUGAUGAUAAGGAACAGCAACAGGCACUGCUGUCAGAUUUACCUCCUGAAUUAGAAGAGAUGGAUUUCAAUCAUGCCUCGCUGGAGCCUGAUGAUACCUCAUUCAGUGUGUCUUCUUUAUCAGAGAAGAAUGCAUCAGACAGUUUAUGAUUGAGGGGAGAUAUAUGAUACAGUAUUUUGGCUACUUAACAGGUGUGCAUUUUAAGAUAACUGCAUUCUGUUGCUCCACUAUUCUUCAGUUGAAAAACCAUAUUAUUGAAAAAAAAAGAUAUUCUUGUGAAGGAUGGACCACAUGUAAUGGCUACAAUGCAAAAAAUGUAUGUGAAAUUUAAAAACUGAGAGAAUUUUUUUCCAAACUAAUGGUACUCUGGAAAAUUUGUACUUAAUUUUGAGUAAUUCAACUAUGAAAUUUAUUAUAUCUAAUUUCUGAAAGAGAUUUGCUUGAUUUUAUAACAAUUUAGUAAUAGCUUUAACCAGAAAUACAAAAAUAAAUAUAUUUCAACAUUAUCAAGCUACUAAAGCUUGAUUUGUCUGGUUUUUGUAGCAAUUACAUCUUUCUUCCUCUCCUUUCCUAUCAUCCAUAUACCUUUUUACUCAGGAAAAUGGACUAAACAUUGAAAAGAAAACUUUAAAGAACUAUUUAACCUGGAUGAAUCAUAGCAUUUAUUUUUCAACCCCUAAGAGAAAAUGAUUUAAGCUAACGAUUGAAAAUUGAAGUAAUGACUAGUAUGUAAUUAUAUAUUGUUGGUGUUCUUUUAUAUAACCCAAAUAUCUGUGAGGAGGGGGGAAACACUAAGGAAAGUUAAUUAACCAACAUAAAGUAAAAAAAGUGACUAUGUGUAUAGACAGAAAAUAUUGUAAAAUAUUAGUCUCAAUGACAAUUCUUCAUUGCUGCAAAAGACAAAUAUUGGUAAGCUUUAAAUUCUACUGGUAAAGUUUUGUAAAUUAGUUUAAAUAUUUCACAGAUAUUUCAAAUAUAUCACCAUCUUUGAAAUGUUUUUUUCAGUUCUUACAUUUUAUGAAACAAGAAGUCAAGGUAAGCCACUUAGAUUUUUUAAAAAUCUAGUCACUGAGCUAUGCCACAAAAUUUAACUCAUUUCCAUGUGAGACCUGUACAGAGCCAUCAGCCAAGGAUAAUAUUCAAAAAGAGUUUACUACUUUAGUUGUAAAUGAGUCCUUUGAAUUUCCUGGAUAUUAUUCUAUGAAUACACACCUAAAAUGGGCAUAGUAUGCAGUUUUUUCUAUUACUAUGUACAGACGGCAGCACACUGCAGACAGUUCUUUGCAGAUCUUCUUUUCCAGGGUACCAGGUGGCAUUACCAAUACACAUAUAAAGGCAAAUGCCAACUUCUCUGUACCCUCAUAGUGUCAUAUAUUUGUGACUUGGCAGUGUCUAAUUGUGUUGCAUGAUUAAAUUACUACCUAUUCUUAUGUAAAAGCUUAAUUAAUAACUAGAUGGCACCUUUAGUUAUCAAUUUUCCAUUUCAAAUAUUUAAAAAUUUUUAAUUGGAGCCAAUUUUGAUGUUGGAAUUCACUGAUACAAAUUAAUGAAUGCAGAAGGGCAAUCUUGAAUGUCUUUAACCAUGCAGUGUCCCCUCCGUCCUACACCAUAGAUAAUGCUUAUUGAUAGUCAAUAUGUUUUGUUAGCUAUUUGUUUGAUUUGAUAUUACUGCCAUAUUACUGCUAUGAUUCCUCUGUUAACAGAAAUAUUUUACUACUCAGGUAUGCUCCCUUUUAGCUGAAUCAUAUGGUUCUUUGCAGUGUUUAGUAUUAUUUGCUGAAAAUUCAAAUUCUAUUUGAAAGAAGAGCACAGAGAAAAAGAACUUCAGAUAUUAACAUUAAAUUUAUCAGUCACACCAAUUUCUUCAUGAGUUAGAGUCCUGACUAUAGACAACAAAAGUAGAAAACAUUUCUUUCUUUUUUUUUUUUUUUUUUUUUUUUUUUUU